CUUCCGUAGGGGAACCUGCGGAAGGAUCAUUAAAGAGUAAGGGUGCUCAGCGCCCGACCUCCAACCCUUUGUUGUUAAAACUACCUUGUUGCUUUGGCGGGACCGCUCGGUCUCGAGCCGCUGGGGAUUCGUCCCAGGCGAGCGCCCGCCAGAGUUAAACCAAACUCUUGUUAUUAAACCGGUCGUCUGAGUUAAAAUUUUGAAUAAAUCAAAACUUUCAACAACGGAUCUCUUGGUUCUCGCAUCGAUGAAGAACGCAGCGAAAUGCGAUAAGUAAUGUGAAUUGCAGAAUUCAGUGAAUCAUCGAAUCUUUGAACGCACAUUGCGCCCCUUGGUAUUCCGAGGGGCAUGCCUGUUCGAGCGUCAUUACACCACUCAAGCUAUGCUUGGUAUUGGGUGCCGUCCUUAGUUGGGCGCGCCUUAAAGACCUCGGCGAGGCCUCACCGGCUUUAGGCGUAGUAGAAUUUAUUCGAACGUCUGUCAAAGGAGAGGACUUCUGCCGACUGAAACCUUUAUUUUUCUAGGUUGACCUCGGAUCAGGUAGGGAUACCCGCUGAACUUAAGCAUAUCAAUAAGCGGAGGAA
rnacentral:rRNA from 1 species